UCACAUCUAAGGUUUACGGUACAUUUC
rnacentral:piRNA from 1 species